rnacentral:rRNA from 1 species
GAAUCCCGUCUUUGACACGGACUACCCAGUGCUAUGUGAUGCGCUCUCGACGAGUCGAGUUGUUUGGGAAUGCAGCUCAAAAACGGGUGGUAAAUUCCAUCUAAAGCUAAAUACAGGCGAGAGACCGAUAGCGAACAAGUACCGUGAGGGAAAGAUGAAAAGAACUUUGGAAAGAGAGUUAAACCGUACGUGAAAUUGCUGAAAGGGAAACGCUUGAUGUCAGUCGCGUCGGCCGGGGAUCAACCUUGCUUCUCGCUGGGUGUAUUUCCUGGUCGACGGGUCAGCAUCGGUUUCGGUCGCCGUACAAGGGCGAGGGGAACGUGGCACUCUUCGGAGUGUGUUAUAGCCUUUCGUCGCAUGCGGUGGUCGGGACCGAGGAACUCAGCACGGCUUCGGUCUGUGCUUAGGAUGCUGGCAUAAUGGCUUUAAUCGACCCGUCUUGAAACACGGACCAAGGAGUCUAACAUGCCUGCGAGUGUUUGGGUGAAAAACCCGAGCGCGUAAUGAAAGUGAAAGUUGAGAUCCCUGUCGUGGGGAGCAUCGACGCCCGGAGCAGACCUUUUGUGACGCAUCCGCGGUAGAGCAUGUAUGUUGGGACCCGAAAGAUGGUGAACUAUGCCUGAAUAGGGUGAAGCCAGAGGAAACUCUGGUGGAGGCUCGUAGCGAUUCUGACGUGCAAAUCGAUCGUCAAAUUUGGGUAUAGGGGCGAAAGACUAAUCGAACCAUCUAGUAGCUGGUUCCUGCC